rnacentral:lncRNA from 1 species
UAGAUGUUGCUACUAGUUUUACCUGGAACUUGUUUCCUUCCCAUGUCUACCUAGCUCUUGGAUGUCUGUGGUUAGUUUCAGUUGCUACUAUGGAAGCUAAGACUUGAUGUCACUAGGCCUGGUUUCUUGUGAACAUGUUUUGAGUUUAAUCUGUGUUGAAUGCUUGAUAUGUGUACCUUAUCUCGUUGCUUAAUGUCAUACUGAUGAUUUGGCCCUUACUUUACUAGCAAAUUAUGGCCAUACUGAUGAUUUGGCCCUUACUUUACUAGCAACUUUAUUCGUACUUCAAAAUGCAUGUACUCUGCAGCACAAGUAAGCGCACAUUUUGCUAUGCAAAAGACAUCAGACGCUGCACUUAGGCCUAUCUUAUUCCAUCACACUAUUUCUAUUAUUCUGGCUGACGAUUAAUGCUGCAAUUAUUAAUACGGAUACGGGCUUAGUUAAUUUGCUGGUAAACGGCUUGCGAAGAAACUCUCGUGCUAUCUUGCCGUUUGCUCCUUCCGGGUAGAAGCCACCAGGGAUCAUGCUCGUUGCCGGUGGGGUAGAGGAUCCUGAGCAACUCGGCCGGUGUCCGGGCGUAGGAGAGGGUGUCGCUGUCGGCGGAGAGCACGUAGGUGCAGAUCUUGCCCUCUGCGCUGAGCUCGGGCGGCACGGUGAGCCCCUCGUCCUUGAGGAUCUUUGGCCUAGGGAAAAGUAACCCACCCACCGUGUUCUGGAUGGCCCUGCAACCAAAGUGAAGCUAGAUUGAGAGCAGGUGAAAACGGCAGUGUGGCUUCGUAAUUUCCCCCCGGAAAUUGCUGCCAUGAACUUUGAUUGUAUCUCUAUUUUGUUAGCUAAUAUAAAUACUCUUUCCCCGCAAAAAAAAAA